rnacentral:rRNA from 1 species
UACGUAGGGGGCUAGCGUUGUCCGGAAUCAUUGGGCGUAAAGCGCGCGUAGGCGGCCAGAUAAGUCCGGUGUGAAAGCCACAGGCUCAACCUGUGAAUGCCGCUGGAAACUGUCUGGCUAGAGUCCGGGAGGGGCGAGUGGAAUUCCUGGUGUAGCGGUGAAAUGCGCAGAUAUCGGGAAGAACACCCGUGGCGAAGGCGGUUCUCUGGGACGGUACUGACGCUGAGACGCGAAAGCGUGGGGAGCAAACAGG